rnacentral:miRNA from 1 species
ACCAUGUUUAGACUCUGAAUU